CCUAUGGGGUCACAAUGAUGACGCCAGGUGCGGUUGCUAGGCGACGUGUCACGCAGCUGACUGCAAAGCCUGUAAAACCUCCUGUAUCCGCUAUCUGUUGACAGCACCUGUGGAAAGCAGCUGGCUGGGGGUGCGGGGUGCUUUGCAUCGCAGGCAGAGGGGCUGGUUAAACCCGUUGGGGUUACAGGGAUGUUACACACCAUGACAACAGUCAGAGGCCCUGCUGCUGAUGCAACUGCUCACAUGGGACACAGAGAGAGAGUUGAGGGAGCUGGGAAAGGUGUUAGCAUGUGGCCGGAGACUGAAGACUUCCAUGCAGCGCCUCACCUUAGGGACGCCGCUGUGUUCAAUAAUUCAGUGGCUGUUGCUCCAGUCCUGCGGAGAGCGCUCAUCAGUGACCGAUGAGCAUCCCUAGUGGGCUCAGCUCCAUCCCGGAAAGGAUUUUUCUCCCCCUUCAGUAGUCCGAAAUGGAUAUGCCCCAGUAAACCAUGACAGUGUGACAGUGAGCCAGCCUGCACAAUGCCAGGACCCUGAAACAGAGGCAGCUGCAUGGAAUCCAGCCAGCAGUAAUUGUAUUAGUUACACUGUACUUUUCCUCCAGUGACAUGUGGAAAUGUCUUCCAAGAAAAUGGCAUAUUAUUCAUGCAGAGAGAGAGAGAUCGGUGGCCUCGUGUAGUUCCUCUACACAACUUCAGCCUGAGUCUAAUCAGACAAACUGAGAAGACUUGGGUAGGUAUGCAGAGCCUUUCAACUUAACCGUUACUUUUUUUAUUGACUACACAGGAUAUCAGUUCUGUUACAGAAAGUAACAGACCCAGAAAGUGUCUAGUAAGUCCAAUCAAGCUAGUCCAUGUUACAUGUUUUGCUGCCAACCUUAUUAUAAGAAGAACCUGCCUUUGUAUCACCUGUUUUGGGAUAAGGACUCUUUUGAAACAAGA